AGAUACCUGAGAUGUACGACAACCUGUUAUUUUGAACCUACAAAUCAUGCAAGGGAAUCAAGAGUAUUACUAGCGAUGUCAGGCCACAAGUUAAUUCCCUUAAGAGCCAUAAUAGGCUACAGGGCAGUGGAAGGCUGAGGGAGUAGGUGAGAUACCCACCUAGAGAAAUCUAGGGCGUCAAAAUUGCAGGACCGGCAUAUUUGGGCAUUAA
rnacentral:other from 1 species